AUCAGUCGACUCCUACGGGGAGGCAGCAGUGGGGAAUAUUGGACAAUGGGGGAAACCCUGAUCCAGCCAUGCCGCGUGUGUGAAGAAGGCCUUCGGGUUGUAAAGCACUUUCAGUGGGGAGGAAAGGUUGAUGGUUAAUACCUAUCAGCUGUGACGUUACCCACAGAAGAAGCCCCGGCUAACUCCGUGCCAGCAGCCGCGGUAAUACGGAGGGGGCUAGCGUUGUUCGGAAUUACUGGGCGUAAAGCGCACGUAGGCGGAUUGGUAAGUUGGGGGUGAAAUCCCGGGGCUCAACCCCGGAACUGCCUCCAAAACUCCCAGUCUUGAGGUCGAGAGAGGUGAGUGGAAUUCCGAGUGUAGAGGUGAAAUUCGUAGAUAUUCGGAGGAACACCAGUGGCGAAGGCGGCUCACUGGCUCGAUACUGACGCUGAGGUGCGAAAGCGUGGGGAGCAAACAGGAUUAGAUACCCGGGUAG
rnacentral:rRNA from 1 species